GGCUCCAUAGCUCAGCGGUUAGAGCACUGGUCUUGUAACCCCAGAUUCAUCAUUAUCCCGGUCAGCAUUGAUCACCAUUUGUUUUAUGAGUUGGAGGAUGGAGCCU
rnacentral:tRNA from 1 species